GACGAACGCUGGCGGCGUGCUUAACACAUGCAAGUCGAACGAUGAACCGGAGCUUGCUCUGGGGAUUAGUGGCGAACGGGUGAGUAACACGUGGGCAACCUGCCCCAGACACCGGGAUAACCAUUCGAAAGGAUGGCUAAUACCGGAUACGACCACUUCGGGCAUCCGAUGGUGGUGGAAAGGAUUCUGGUCUGGGAUGGGCCCGCGGCCUAUCAGCUUGUUGGUGGGGUAAUGGCCUACCAAGGCGACGACGGGUAGCCGGCCUGAGAGGGCGACCGGCCACACUGGGACUGAGACACGGCCCAGACUCCUACGGGAGGCAGCAGUGGGGAAUAUUGCGCAAGGGGCGAAAGCCUGACGCAGCGACGCCGCGUGAGGGACGAAGGUCUUCGGAUUGUAAACCUCUUUCAGCAGGGAUGAAGCGAAAGUGACAGUACCUGCAGAAGAAGCACCGGCUAACUACGUGCCAGCCGCCGCGGUAAAAC
rnacentral:rRNA from 1 species